ACCGGCUGCUCCGAAAGAACAAGUCGAGGUCGAAGCGUCCAAUUAACGUUUAAAACGUAUCAUUCAUCAAAGCCAUUAUGGGAUUAAACGGCCUAAAGAUGAUAUCUGAAAGGCUGGAGUUUGAAGUUUUAAUAUAACUACAGACAUCUGAGCUACCGUUUGUUCGUCCGAAACGCACGAUGGUGGCGUUCACGUCAGACGCAGGAAGACGAAGAAGAAGAAGAGACGCGGCGUAAACAAACCAAACCGAAGCGGCGCGUUGGCUUCAGUUUGAGGCUUAAACGUGGCUUUAGCGACAUGAUGGAGACUACCAGCAGACGGGCUCUGGACAGAAUCUACUCUGCGGUCCUGCUGGCCGUCGUGGUUUUGUCCUGGUCGUAUGUGAUCUACGGCAGCAGGAUCGCAGCUCGCUGGCUGCUGGAGGAAAGAACCGCCGUCCUGCGUCAGGACUGACCGGUCGGUGCUGGUUUGGAGCUGGGCGUCGUGCUCUGCUGGUGUCUGGUCACGUGUUUCCUGGAUUGGAGGAGCUCUUCCACCUCUUCUCAAAUCUGUGGUCACCAUGUUUCAAUUGUGUUUGGACGACCUGCUGGAUCUCCAUCCAAAACAUGUAAAACACAGUGUGGUAACACUCACGUCACAACGAUUAGAACACUUUAAAAACAUUUAAAAAACGUGUUAAAACAGCAGAAGCUAAAGUAGGAAACAUGUCGGAGGUCAGGGAUCUGUGUUUGAAGGAGGCUGUUUGUGUUUUUAAAGACAUUUUCUGGUCAUUUUUGUUUUGUUCUGUAAAUGUAGAACGUUUGUAAAAACAGGCACCACUGUCAUGUCUGUGUCCGUCCACCAGAGGGCGCUGCAGCCCACUGAUGAAGGUGCCACCAGGUCCAGACUGGUGGCUGAUGAUAAACUUUUUUAGGCAGAAAUGUCAGUGUUUGAUGAAGCAUCUUCCUUAAAAAUCCAGCAUCUGGAGCUGAUGUUGGCAGAAAGAAUCAAACGGCUUCAGCUCGUUUCAGGUUCAAGCUUCUAGUUCAGACUUUUUCUUAAACGAAAGUUGAGCGUCUCUGGAUUGUCACUGACACUUUAUCAACCAGACAACAACAGCCGCUCUGCUCUCAGGCUCAUGGAUCCUUCAGAAGUCUUCACCUCGGGGCUCAGCGCUUGGACCGGUCAGGAGAACCGGACCUGACGGAGCCGGCCAGAGGUCAGAAUGGAAACGGACUGGUUUAUAAAGGAAGUUAAGAAAAAACUGCACAAAGACAGAAGGUCCUGCUGGGAAGGACGACGGGACGGGACACCUCGGAACACUGGACGGAUCCACGUUGGCCAUCUUCACCACAGCUCAUCAGACGCUUUGACUCCUUCUGCUGCAGAUGUUUGAGCUUUUAGCAUCUCCAUCAGGACGUCUGCAGGUCCUCAGACGCUUUAAAGACUGAAUUUUGGACUGUUUGUAGAUGAAACUAGAUAAUUUUUGUACCUGAAACAUGAAGUGAUUCAGUGCAGUUGUUGUAGAUCCACCUCCUGCUUCUCUGGAUGUGAACGUCUUAGUUAAUAAAAUUGUGGACUUUA